rfam:Schistosoma mansoni strain Puerto Rico chromosome 2, complete genome
AUCCAGCUGACGAGUCCCAAAUAGGAAGAGACGCGCGUCCGGGAU